rnacentral:rRNA from 1 species
GAUGAACGCUGGCGGCGUGCCUAAUACAUGCAAGUCGAGCGAACAGACGAGGAGCUUGCUCCUCUGACGUUAGCGGCGGACAGGUGAGUAACACGUGGAUAACCUACCUAUAAGACUGGGAUAACUUCGGGAAACCGGAGCUAAUACCGGAUAAUAUAUUCAACCGCAUGGUUCAAUAGUGAAAGACGGUCUUGCUGUUACGUAUAGAUGGAUCCGCGCCGCAUUAGCGAGUUGGUAAGGUAACGGCUUACCAAGGCAACGGUGCGUAGCCGACCUGAGAGAGUGCUCGGCCACACUGGAACAGGGACACGGUCCAGACUCCUACGGGAAGCAGGAGUAGGGAACCUUGCGCAAUAGGCGAAAGCCUGACGGAGCAACGCGGCGUGGGCGAUGGAGGUCUUCGGGUCGUGAGACUCUGUUAUUAGGGAAGGACAAAUGUGUAAGUAGCUAUGCAAGCAUUGACGGUACCUAAUCAGAAAGCCACGGCUAACUCCGUG